UACAGAGGGUGCGAGCGUUAAUCGGAAUUACUGGGCGUAAAGCGCGCGUAGACGGUUUUGUAAGUCAGAUGUGAUAUCCCCGGGCUCAACCCGGGAACUGCAUUUGAGACUGCAUGGCUAGAGUAUGGAAGAGGGAAGUGGAAUUUCCGGUGUAGCGGUGAAAUGCGUAGAUAUCGGGAAGAACACCAAAGGCGAAAGCACUUUGCUGGGCCGAAACUGACACUGAUAGACGAAAGCUAGGGGAGCAAAUGGG
rnacentral:rRNA from 1 species